UAGAUAGAAGCUUGUUGGUUGGAGCACUUGGCUGUUAACCAGGAUGUUAUGGGAUCGAAGCCCAUCUAUCUAG
rnacentral:tRNA from 1 species